GUUGAAUUAUGUAGAAUGUUCGUGAAUUUUAUUUUUUUUUUCCAAAAUGUUUCUGCUAUGCUACAAUGUCUUUUUUGAUUCUUUAUUGUCAUCAGGUAAGACAUGAAUGGUUUUACGUUGAUAACUCUAAGAUGGUACCAUGGUGGGGUCUUAUAUUUUAGUGGAAGGAAACCAAUUUAUAAGAGGGGGUUAGUAACAGAAUUUUUGGAUGUUGAUGUAGAUAAGAAAUCAUUAGAGCAUGUCAACAACAAAAAAAAAAAAAGGGAGACCAAAAAACGCAACACCAAAACCUUCUGCACCUACUGUUUUCCCAGCAUCCUAUUCUGCACUCAAUGGCUGGUACUACUAAAAGAAGAAGGGGUAAUGAUAGGGAACAAGCAGCUCCAUUGAAAAGGUCAAAAGUAAUGAGAAUGGGUGUGUUCUAAGCUAAAAAUAGAUUCAAAGUCCUAAAUCCUGAAAUGCCUAGUAGUAAGAUCUACUCUACUGGUCAAGCAAGGGUAACAAGAUCAGCUGAUAUAACUGAUAAAAUUGGUUAUACACCAACUUCUACCAGUAAGCUGAAAUUGAAUGGCAAAGAAGCAAUAUCAACAAAAAAAAACUACAAGAGAAUAAAGAGAAGAAAAGAAAAGAAAAUAUGGGAAGCAGUUCAAAUAAUCCAAGUAAAAAAAAUACUUCUUCAAAGUUCAAGAUGCCCUGAAAAUUGUAGUGAUCUUGAUUAUUUUAAGCACUGUUUUAAGUUAGAUCAGUUGACAUGAAAAUAAUUUUAUUUUGGUGUUGAAAAACAAUUAAAGCGUUGUAUAUAUAUUUUGUUGAUAAAUGUUGCCUAAUGGUUGGUAUGAAUGAUUAUGUUGUGCCUAAUGGUUGGUAUGAAUGAUGAUGUUGUGUGAA